AAGUCGUAACAAGGUCUCCGUAGGUGAACCUGCGGAGGGAUCAUUAACACGUUUUUUCUAAACGUUUUUUUUCCAACCAACCUGUUGAACGUAAUGAAUUUUUUCAAUUUCCACACAAAAAAAGAAAAGUGUGUGAUGCAAAUCACUCACUCACUCUUUUUUUGUUGUUGGAAACGGGUGUUCCUACCCAUUUUUCAUAUUAUUAACCAUUUUCACCACUUGUCAACUUCUGGCUGAUCUUAUUUUUCUAUUUCAUUUCGUUUCACGAAUGAAAUAGUUUGUUAAUAACUUAACAUAUCCAAAAAGCACAACUCUUAGCAAUGGAUAUCUAGGUUCUC
rnacentral:misc_RNA from 1 species